CUGAUCGCGAUUUUCAGAGACGAAUUUCUUCAGUUCGGCUGGAUCAGUGACAGGUGCUGCAUGGCUGUCGUCAGCUCGUGUCGUGAGAUGUUGGGUUAAGUCCCGCAACGAGCGCAACCCUCAUUCUUAUUUGCCAGCGAGUUAUGUCGGGAACUAUAAGAAAACUGCCGGUGAUAAGCCGGAGGAAGGCGAGGAUGACGUCAAGUCCUUAUGGCCCUUAUGGCCUGGGCUACACACGUGCUACAAUGGGAACUACAAAGAGCAGCCAACCCGCGAGGGUGAGCAAAUCUCUAAAAGUUCUCUCAGUUCGGAUUGUACUCUGCAACUCGAGUACAUGAAGUUGGAAUUGCUAGUAAUCGUAGAUCAGAACGCUACGGUGAAUACGUUCCCGGGUCUUGUACACACCGCCCGUCACACCAUGGGAGUUUAUUUUACCUGAAAACGGUGUACUAACCUUUUUGGAAGGAACCGUUUACGGUAAGGUCAAUGACUGGGGUGAA
rnacentral:rRNA from 1 species